rnacentral:rRNA from 1 species
CCUACGGGAGGCAGCAGUGGGGAAUAUUGCUCAAUGGGCGAAAGCCUGACGCAGCGACGCCGCGUGAGGGAUGAAGGUCCUCGGAGCGUAAACCUCUGUCAGCAUGGAAGAACGGUCACUGUCCUAAUCAGCAGUGAAUUGACGAUACCUGCACAGGAAGCACCGGCUAACUCCGGGCCAGCAGCCGCGGUGAUACGGAGGGUGCGAGCGUUAAUCUGUAUGACUGGGCGUAAAGGGCUCGUAGGCGGUAUGUCAAGUCAAGGGUGAAAUCCCCGGGCUCAACCGGGGAACUGCAUUUGAAACUGGCAGACUGGAGUGUGGGAGAGGAGGGUGGAAUUCCAGGUGUAGGAGUGAAAUGCGUAGAUAUCAGGAGGAACACCAGUGGCGAAGGCGACUAUCUGG